GUUUAUAGAGUCAGAAGUCUAUCCCUAUUGUGAGCAGUAAUCACACCGCUAUCGUUUAGUGUUUAUGAUCUAAAAGUUGAUCUCGAGAGCCUUUAGUAAAAGCUACAUCAUUCCACGAAAGUUUGUGAACGAUCGAGUUGUUGGUGAAUUAUAUGAAUUCAGCAAGAUGAAUACAGAAAUCUUAGAAGCUGCUCAGUAAUGCAACUGAAAGACUGUAUUUAAUGAAGUUGUCCGUAACAAACUUCUAAGAUUUCUAGCCUUAAGUUGGGCAGAAAUCUGAUGCCGG